rnacentral:rRNA from 1 species
AUUGAAUGCUGGCGGCAGGCCUAACACAUGCAAGUCGAACGAGUGGCGGACGGGUGAGUAAUGUCUGGGAAACUGCCUGAUGGAGGGGGAUAACUACUGGAAACGGUAGCUAAUACCGCAUACCAUCAGAUGUGCCCAGGUGUGAGUAGGUAGUUGGGGGGGUAACGGCUCACCACGGCGACGAUCCCUAGCUGGUCUGAGAGGAUGACCAGCCACACGUGAACUGAGACACGGUCCCGACUCCUAAGGGAGGCAGCAGUGGGGCAUAUUCCACAAUGGGCGCAAGCCUGAUGCAGCCAUGCCGCGUGUAUGAAGAAGGCCUUCGGGUCGUAAAGGACGUUCAGCGGGGAGGCGUUACCCGCAGAAGAAGCACCGGCUAACUCCGUGCCAGCAGCCGCGGUAAUUC